AUUGAACGCUGGCGGCAUGCCUUACACAUGCAAGUCGAACGGUAACAGGUCUUCGGAUGCUGACGAGUGGCGAACGGGUGAGUAAUACAUCGGAACGUGCCCAGACGUGGGGGAUAACGAGGCGAAAGCUUUGCUAAUACCGCAUACGAUCUAAGGAUGAAAGCGGGGGACCGCAAGGCCUUGUGCGUUUGGAGCGGCCGAUGGCAGAUUAGGUAGUUGGUGGGAUAAAAGCUUACCAAGCCGACGAUCUGUAGCUGGUCUGAGAGGACGACCAGCCACACUGGGACUGAGACACGGCCCAGACUCCUACGGGAGGCAGCAGUGGGGAAUUUUGGACAAUGGGCGAAAGCCUGAUCCAGCAAUGCCGCGUGCAGGAUGAAGGCCUUCGGGUUGUAAACUGCUUUUGUACGGAACGAAAAGGCUCUGGCUAAUACCUGGGGCACAUGACGGUACCGUAAGAAUAAGCACCGGCUAACUACGUG
rnacentral:rRNA from 1 species